AUCAUCGAUGACCUGACAAGCCUGGUGGAGAGCACAGACGGGCGGCUGCGCAGCCAGACACGGCACGUGCAGGCAGUGGAGAGGAAAUCCACGUCAUGUGGGAUGCUGGUGGUGAUCGUGCUGCUGCUCAUCGCCAUCGCCGUGGUCGCGCUCUGGCCCACGGGGUAACCCCGACCCUGCUGGGGCAGCUGCUCCAGGGGAGCCCCAGGGCUCGGGCAGGGACCUGCUGAGGGCAGGGAUGAGCUCCAUCCAUCGCUGGGAACAAACUCCACAGCUGGGAAUGACCCCACUGAGCAAACUGAACCAUCUCCACAGCUGGGACUGACCCCACUGCAGGAGCCUGGACAAACCCACAGCUGGGAAUGACCCCACUACAGCAGCCUGGACAAACCCACAGCUGGGAAUGACCCCACUGCAGCAGCCUGAGGCAGCCCCGCUCUCCUUGGCCAAGGAGCUCAGUGAGAUCUGCAAGAUUUCAGUGGGAAAGGAUUUCAUCCCAUCAGGAUUUCAAUCCAACAGGAUUUCAUCGCACUAACAGGAUUUCAUCCCACUCUUCCCACCUUCCCCUGGCUCUCAGGCAGCUGCAGCUGUGGGAUGGACCCACCUCUCCUGCACCUGGGCCCAGCUGGUGCUGCUGCCCUGCCCAUCUCCUGAGCUCAGACAUGCCAGAGGCUCCAAACACUGAAAUGCAGGAGUGCUGUGGAGAACAGCCACAUUCCCUGCUCUGGGAUCCCUCCUGCAGAGGGAAAUGCUCCAUUCAGGGAAUGUCCUGGGGAGUGGCUGCCUCUGGAUUCCCCCAGGAUGGGAAGGGACAGCCCUGCAGGAGCCCCUGGGCUGCACAGAACCAUGGGGACUGGGUCAGUGCUCAGCCUGGGGGAGGCUUGCUGGGGUAUUGAUCCCCAGGGAUGGUCAUUGGUGGGGUAUUGAUCCCCAGGGAUGGUCAUUGGUGGGUUAUUGAUCCCCAGGGAUGGUCAUUGGUGGGUUAUUGGUCUCCAGGGAUGGUUACUGGUGGGUUAUUGAUCCCCAGGGACGGUCAUUGGUGGGUUAUUGAUCUCCAGGGAUGGUUAUGGGUGCGUUAUUGAUCUCCAGGGAUGGAGUUACUGAUCUCAGAUGGGAACUGAACAGCAGCAGGACUCAGCCCAGCCUGUGAGAGUGAGAGCUCUGCCCGUGUGUGCUCCCCAGGGGCUCUGCCAGCCUGGCCCUGGGAGAUGCACCACAAUUAACGUCCUCACUGAGCUCUGGCUCUUCCUUUGACAGCUUCUCACACCCUUCUACAGCUGAGAGGAAGGAUUACCUGUUUCAAAACUAAUGAAAAAGAAGUAUUAAAUGUUUGCUUCUGGCCAAGAGAAUAAUUAUUUUGUUACAAAUGUCAGUUUGAUUUCAGGAUUAAUAGAGCAAGCAAUAAAUACUGAUUAAAGCUGAUCCAUUUCUAUACAGUU